CGCCUUUGGUCAUGGAGAAGAUAUACUAGAUUUACACAAAGACAGCAAUUUAAAUCAGUAUCAAGAUUGGUGGGACAGAAUAUAAUUCUCCUGUGAGCAACUAAUAACUGUAGAACUGUGCAGAUGUCAAUUCCUGAAUCUUCUUGUGAAGCAUUAGGGGAUAAUCUCUUCCUGGGUUCAAUAUGCAAACCUAAGCAUAAAAGGAGAUCAUCUUCUCCAAUAGUGGCCAGGAAAGUUGGCAGAAAACAAUACAAUAUCAUACGAUUUGUGUUCUUGAGAAGUGAAUGUAUAUAAGCCUCAAGUUGCCUGCUUCCUCUUGUAAUAGACAGAAGACCCUUUCCUGCAGGUGCUGCUUCUUCAAUUCGCCCAUCUUUGUUUGCCAAUUGCAACAUCGACAACAAAAAUUCCAGAGUUUUCAACACACCAGCAGGUUGAGGAAAAGCACCCAUAUAGACACGAUCCAC
rnacentral:misc_RNA from 1 species